CCUCCGGACGCUGAAUCUGGUUGCAGCCUCGGUCUUUUAAACCGACUCCUUAAAUGGACAUGUGGGUUCAAAUCCCACCCGGAGGAC
rnacentral:tRNA from 1 species